UGUGCCCUCGGUUUGCAUCUCGUGUUAGGUGUUCACUAUCUUUCAUUUGCUACUCUGGGCACAUGAAAUACAUUGGGGAACAAAAUCAAACCCUGCGGUGCUGCCAUUCUACUAUUUAAAAAAAAAAAAAACGCAGGAGAUUGGCCAGGCGCAGUGGCUCAUGCCUGUAGUAACUAGUUCUUUAGGGAAGACCAAGGCGGGAGGAUCACUUGAGCCCAGGAGCUUGGGACCAGCCUGGGCAACAUAGUAAGAGUUUGUCUGUAUUUACCAAAAAAAAAAAAGAUAAACAGUAGAUGCUACAAUUAAGCAAAAACAUGUAGAGAAAGUGAAGUUUAAGCUAAGACUUCAAGGAAGCGAGGGAGUUCUGUUUCUUGGGGGGGUUUUUUUGUUUUGUUUUGCAGAGUUUUGCUCUGUCGUCCAGGCUAGAGUGCUGCAGUGUGAUCUCGGCUCGCUAUAAUCCCUACCUCCCAGGAGAAUUGCUUGAACCUGGGAGGCAGAGGUUGUGGUGAGCCGAAAUCGUGCCACUGCACUCUAGCCUGACAACGGAGCAAGACUCCAUCUAAAAAAAAAAAAAAAUAGCUCACUAAAUAUCUGGGGGAAGAGCCUUCCAGGCAGGGGAAGUGCCAGGCGCUUCCUGAGCGAAGUCCCUGAAGAGGAGUAAGGUCAGUAAGUUUAAGGGACAGCUGCAGUAUGCCCGAGUGGCCUGAGGAAGGAGGCUGUGUAGAUGAGGUUGGAGAAGGGGAUGGUGCUUUGUAGACUGUUGGAGUACUUUCCAAGUGGGAAGCCAUUGUCCUGGCUUUUUUCAUUUCUUAAUUUUUAGUUAGCAAUAAUCAUACCUCACAUAACCCUCAUUUGCCAUACUGCCACGGCACUAAGCUUUUUUCUUUUUUUUGUUGUUGUUUUUUUUUUUUUAAGACAAGGUCUCACUCUGGUUGCCCAGGCCUGUGGUGCAGUGUUGUGAUCUCCGUUCCCUGCAGCCUCAACUUCUUGGAGGAUCUAAACAAAAGAUACAGAAAUACAAUAUCAGCUUGAGCCUGGGAGUUCAAGGCUGCUCAGACCCUCUUGGGUUUAAGCGAUAUCCUCGUGCCUUAGCCUCCCAGCUAGCUGCAACUACAGGCACUGAUGAGGGUUUUAAAAGAAUGGUUUCCUUAUAUGAGUUUUUUAGACUUAGCCUAGAAUAUGUGGAGUGUGUGUGUGUGUGUGUGUGUGUGAGAGAGAGAGAGAGAGAGAGAGAGAAAUGCCACCUCCCUUUGUUUUCAGGUGAUUCUCCCACCUCAGCUUCCCAGGUAGCUGGGAUUACAGGCGCGUAUCAACACGACUCGCUAAUUUUUUUGUAUUUUUAGUAGAGAUGGGGUUUUGCUAUGUUGCCCAGUCUGGUCUUGAGCACCACUGUUCCAGCCAAUUUUAAGUUUAUAUUUUAUAGAUACAGGGUCUCAUUUUGUUGCCCAGGCUAGUUUCAAGCGAUCCUCCUAUCUUGGCCUCCCAAAGCGCUGGGAUUACAGGCAAGAGCCACUGCACCUCUCCUGUCCUGUCCUGUCCUGAUGUGUAACACCUUGGGUUAGUGCUCCCUGUUUGUGAACUUUAAUAUAAUGGAAUUACACAGUAUGUACUCUGUCUGACAUAAUUGAGAGAGUCACCCACCAUUCAUUGUUACUGUGUAGCAGUGAUGCCUUCAUGUUUAUUCUGUGCUAGUCCAGCAUCUGCUGUUAUUGUACUGUACUUUAUCCAUUCUCCUGUUGAUUGACAUUUGUGUGGUUUGUCUAUUUCAAAAAAUACAAGCAAGGUUUUACAGAGUGGCUAGUAAUACAUUUA